ACAACGUGAUAUGAAAUAAUAACCUUGUAUCUGUUCAUUAACACAUCCACAUAUGGUGUUCUAUUCACCUAUCCACGUAACUGUAUUCUUUUUUUCUUUUUUCUUUUUUUUUUGUCUGCAGCUUUAUUUUGCGCAUACCUUGGGGCAGCGAUUGGGAAUAUGAUGUCUGUGGUACGUAUUAUUUUGACUGGGAAGCAUAUUGUUCUAGCCGUGGGAAGAGUUCUAUGUUUUGGGUUUUGUUUUUUUUGGUGGUCUUGCCUGGUAGAAGAAAAAACAUUAAUUGCCAUUAUCACCGCUAGCAUUACUUUUUUUUUUUUUUUGUCUGAUGUUAAUUAAUUUGUUCAAAGUCUUGGAAAGACAAAUUAUCACUCCAUUCCCCUUCUUAAGUUUAUUUGUAAUAUUUUGCAGAAGUCAUAGUAUUGACCUAGUAUUGUAUACUAUUUACUCCCUGGCCCUACCCGUGUCCUCUUACCUUGAACUCAAAAUCAACUGCUUUCUUUAGAAUUAUUUAGUUGAGCCAUCCACAAAAUAUUUCUAGCUAAUAUCCUGAGCCCUUAAGCCUUUCUCCUUUAUGGCGAAUUGAACAAAAACCACAUAAAGUAAUAAGUCCCAACUGGUAGUGGUAUUGUAAAUCUCCUGUAAUAAUUACAAUACAAUGUAACAUGCGGUAUACCUAAUCCAUCAACAAAAAAUAUGACUUUGUAGGGUUAAGCCCUUGACACUUCUGGUGGUAUCAAACUGGCUUAGGACACCUGAUUCAAUUAAGUUGUAUCUAGAGUGCCUACCUUUCAUGUUCCACUGAUUUUAGUGUCCCAAACUGGAAUGUAAAUUGUGUGCCUGUAGCCGUGGAAAUCCAUGACUAUAAACCCACAUUGCUGAGGCGAGGAUUAACUGGAUUUGGCCUGAUUAACCAGAGCAUUCAACCUUCUGCAGGGUUACAUUGGUUGAGUAAUUAUUGUGCAUUAUAUAUCACAUUGUUUUACAUCUGUAGUCUGCAAGACAUGGUAAAGUCAUUUAAAUUUAAGGACAGUUGUAUAUUAACCCCAGUAAAGCCUAUGUGAUCCUCGAUACAAAGAAACAUUAAAACUGUGCUUAAAUUUCUACAAACUUUAUAAGUGAACUUUAUGGAUAUGUUUAAUUGUUUGUUUUACUUUUCACCUAUACAAAUACCGGUCAACAGUCAGGCGGCCUAAAAGUAACAUAAAAUCAAUAAUCUGCUAAGGUUUUACUGUAUGAUAACAUUAUCUAGAAACUAUUACUACUUACAUGUCUUAUCAUAUGCUCAACGAAUGAAAUGAAUCUUUAAACUCUCUUCGUGGAAAUUGUUGAGGAGAGCUGGCAAUAACAUUUCCAGAGUUCAAGGAUCACAAUAACAUUAGAAAUACCAACAUAUAUUCCUAACACUAUAGCUUUAAUCUACCUAUAUUGGUGAGGGUUUGAAAGGUGAGAUUUACUUACCUUAAAGCCCUUGCUGUCCAAACUUCUUCUCAGCUUGAGUCAUCCGUUGUGAUGAUCUCAGCUAACCCAAUGCUUCACCAGUGAAGCAUUAUCAGGCUAGUGUCCACGCAAGGCAAAAAGCCCACUUUACUAAUGAAAUGGUCUCUACGAGAGCAUUUGUCUCAUUAACGAGUCAAACUUGGUUCUGGGCAAAGAAGUGCCUCCAGUGUCUGUCAGGAAGAAAGAGAUACUGCACCUGGAACACUUUAUUGAGAUGAAGUGGUCUGGGUGCCUAUUGUUGUCCCAUAAAUAUAUAAUUUCAAAAAUAGAUGGCAUGCUGUAUAAUUCACCAUGAAACACCCUUCAAAAACAAUGGAAAUUUGACUAGCUCAUCAUUUACAUGACAAUGGGUUAUUCACUAAAUCGAGAAUUCAAGGCAAAUUCAAAAUAAUGCUCGAGAAUUUGAAAAGAAAUAGCAGACUUAAUAGUUUUUCCAGUUCAACUACUUAGACCUUCAAUUUGAAAUUCACUUUGAAUUCAACUUGAUUACUCACUUUAUUAAACAACCCUGAAAAUAUUGCACUGAUACUGACCUUGUCAUCAGUUACUUUUAACGGAUGGUUCAUUUUAAAGCAAUUCCCCCAAAGUUACCUAUUUUACCUUGUUUGCAAAAGUAAAUUAUCAUUAGAAUGUUCAUUUCCUUUCUAGGUUGGGUUGCCGUCAUGCACAUGGCCAUUUUGUCUCUCAGCUCUCAUCUUCCUAUUAAUAACCACAAAUAACCCAGCAAUCUGCAAGCUACCCUUGUCGAAGGUUACAUACCCAGAGGAAAACCGAAUCUACUAUCUCAACUUGAAAAAAGAAAAGAAAGAAAAAGGCAAUACCAAAAUCUAAAAUGUGCUCUCCUCCAAACUUCACAUUUCAGGGCAUUUAAUUCACAAAUCACACUGCUGAUGUUUGAGAAUGUUAAUUCUGCUGAUUUUAAGCACGCUUUUCAGAAUAUUAUGCGUUUACAUUUGUAUGUAUCCUGCCAUUUCUGUGCUGAGCUCUGUACACUGGUACACCACAAUGUACACAAGAGACAGGUGUUUAAAGGUGCAAGUAAACUCUAAAACGCUAAAGAGUAGCAUUUGGAGUUGAUAUAAGAUGUAUACUCCUAAAAAACAUAUGUAUAUGAACAACUUUCUUUCAGCUGGCACUUGAUUUUUUAAGAAAGUUAUUCAGAUAAUCUUUUCAAUUUCACAAAGUUAAAAAGGGAAUUACUACUUUUUUUUUUAAUAGCUCCCCCUUCACAAUAUUAUACCGAGAAUAUAUUUCUACUUUGUUUAUAAUUCUUGCCCCCAACAUGUACACACACUUCAGAUGAGCCUAGCAUCAUUUAUUCAAUGAUUUGAAUUAUCAAUUAAUUGAUAAAAUUUGCAGUUACAGCCUUUUUAAAAAACAUAUUUGAUUUUUUUUUUUAAUUGGGGGGUGCGGGGAAUGGGAGUUUAAAGAAUUUUCAGUCCCAGUAAUCUUGCUUUUUUUUUAUUUUUUUACUUUUUAAGGUAAAACCGCUGCAAAGAUCUGAAAUGUGUUAGAAUAAAAUAAACUGCUGGUUCAAAAGAACUUGUAAACUAUGAGGUGUGUGGCAUUCCAGUUUUAUGACUUGUUACGUAUUUAUGACUGAAGGGAAGAAAAAAAAAAAAACUUAGAAUUGAAUUGUUUUCAAUCAUAUUAGAAAAGUUUACUUAUUGAAGCCUUACAGUUUUCAUUGCUGGCAUAGUGAAAACAAGUUUGAAAAUUGUUACAUGUUUUAAUUAAAAAAUGUCCUUGUUUGUUCUAAAGAACAUGCUUAAGUGUCUGCCUAAACAUUAUUU